CCAUGGCUGGGUUCACUAAUUAGUUAUGUCUAUGGUAAGCACAUGCGCACUGUUAAUUUGUGUAUAUUUUCAUGUUAAAUGACAGGUGAACUUUCAUAUAUGCAGUUAAACAAACGUGGUCUCGCUUUAUUAUUGGCAUAUAUAUGCACAAGAUGUGUGAGUCACACAUAAAGCCAUCCCGUAUCAGGUAAUUCAACUCAUGUUAAAGUCAAUCAUCCAGACAGCCGUCACCCAAUUUAUUUGUCCAUUAUUGUAUAAAUUGGCAUCUGCGUUGUAUGAAGGAGAAGUCUUACUAAAACGGCCGAACAUACAAGUCGCAUUAUUGCUGGCUUUCGCGGGAUGGGCCCAUUGCGGGCUUCGCAUGUAUCUUGUAUUUGACAAACAUUUUGGAAACGUUGUGUUGUGUUAAUAAGCAGAAAUAAAACGCAAAGAAAUCAGAAA